GGUGGUUCUUCCAUGACGCACCCUGGAAUCAGGGCCUCUCCUCUCUGGUUCAGGGUGAAGUUACCUGAGAGCCACA
rfam:Myotis davidii contig207715, whole genome shotgun sequence.